CGUAGGGGGCAAGCGUUAUCCGGAAUCACUGGGCGUAAAGGGUGCGUAGGCGGUCUAUCAAGCCAGAAGUGAAAGGCAUUGGCUCAACCAAUGUAAGCUUUUGGAACUGAUGGACUUGAGUGCAGGAGAGGAAAGUGGAAUUCCUAGUGUAGAGGUGAAAUUCGUAGAUAUUAGGAGGAACACCAGUGGCGAAGGCGACUUUCUGGACUGUAACUGACGCUGAGGCACGAAAGUGUGGGGAGCGAACAGGAUUAGAUACCCUGGUAGUCCACACCGUAAACGAUGAAUACUAGGUGUCGGGGGUCGAACCUCGGUGCCGCAGCUAACGCAUUAAGUAUUCCGCCUGGGGAGUACGCACGCAAGUGUG
rnacentral:rRNA from 1 species